rnacentral:rRNA from 1 species
GACGAACGCUGGCGGCGUGCUUAACACAUGCAAGUCGAACGGAAAGGCCCUGCUUUUGUGGGGUGCUCGAGUGGCGAACGGGUGAGUAACACGUGAGUAACCUGCCCUUGACUUUGGGAUAACUUCAGGAAACUGGGGCUAAUACCGGAUAGGAGCUCCUGUUGCAUGGUGGGGGUUGGAAAGUCUCGGCGGUUGGGGAUGGACUGGCGGCUUAUCAGCUUGUUGGUGGGGUAGUGGCUUACCAAGGCUUUGACGGGUAGCCGGCCUGAGAGGGUGACCGGGCACAUUGGGACUGAGAGACGGCCCAGACUCCUACGGGAGGCAGUAGUGGGGAAUAUUGCACAGUGGGCGGAAGCCGGAUGCAGCGACGCCGCGGGUGGGAAGACGGCCUUCGGGUUGUGAACCGCUGUCGCCUGUGACGAAGCUGGAGUGACGGUAAUGAGUGAAGAAGCACCGGCUAACUACGUG